GGGUGAGUAACACGUAUGCAACCUGGCCGUGACAGAUGGAUAACCGGGAGAAAUCCCGCCUAAUACAACAUAAUGCCGGGAGGGGACAUCCCCUGCCGGCCAAAGGGGGCGACCCCGGUCACGGAUGGGCAUGCGGCGCAUUAGGUAGUUGGUGGGGCAACGGCCCACCAAGCCGACGAUGCGUAGGGGUUCUGAGAGGAAGGUCCCCCACAUUGGAACUGAGACACGGUCCAAACUCCUACGGGAGGCAGCAGUGAGGAAUAUUGGUCAAUGGCCGGAAGGCUGAACCAGCCAAGUCGCGUGAGGGAAUAAGGCCCUACGGGUCGUAAACCUCUUUUGCCAGGGAGCAAUGCCGUCCACGUGUGGACGGAUGGAGAGUACCUGGAGAAAAAGCAUCGGCUAACUCCGUGCCAGCAGCCGCGGUAAUACGGAGGAUGCGAGCGUUAUCCGGAUUUAUUGGGUUUAAAGGGUGCGUAGGCGGCCUGCCAAGUCAGCGGUAAAAUUGCGGGGCUCAACCCCGUACAGCCGUUGAAACUGCCGGGCUCGAGUGGGCGAGAAGUAUGCGGAAUGCGUGGUGUAGCGGUGAAAUGCAUAGAUAUCACGCAGAACCCCGAUUGCGAAGGCAGCAUACCGGCGCCCUACUGACGCUGAGGCACGAAAGUGCGGGGAUCAAACAGGAUUAGAUACCCUGGUAGUCCGCACAGUAAACGAU
rnacentral:rRNA from 1 species